GUGGGGAAUCUUCCGCAAUGGACGAAAGUCUGACGGAGCAACGCCGCGUGAGUGAAGAAGGUUUUCGGAUCGUAAAGCUCUUUCGUUAGGGACGAACGUGCUCUUUGUGAAUAAUGAGGAGUAAUGACGGUACCUAAAUAAGAAGCCACGGCUAACUACGUGCCAGCAGCCGCGGUAAUACGUAGGUGGCAAGCGUUGUCCGGAAUUAUUGGGCGUAAAGCGCGCGCAGGCGGGAUAUCAAGUCUGUCUUAAAAGUGCGAGGCUCAACCUCGUGAGGGGACAGAAACUGGUAUUCUUGAGUGUCGGAGAGGAAAGUGGAAUUCCUAGUGUAGCGGUGAAAUGCGUAGAUAUUAGGAAGAACACCAGUGGCGAAGGCGACUUUCUGGACGAAAACUGACGCUGAGGCGCGAAAGCCAGGGGAGCGAACGGGAUUAGAUACCCCAGUAGUCC
rnacentral:rRNA from 1 species